UACGGGGGGGGCAAGCGUUGUUCGGAAUUACUGGGCGUAAAGGGCGCGUAGGCGGCCUUCUAAGUCGGACGUGAAAUCCCUCGGCUUAACCGAGGAACUGCGUCCGAUACUGAAAGGCUUGAAUCCGGGAGAGGGAUGUGGAAUUCCAGGUGUAGCGGUGAAAUGCGUAGAUAUCGGGAGGAACACCUGUGGCGAAAGCGGCGCACUGGACCACAUCUGACGCUGAGGCGCGAAAGCUAGGGGAGCAAACAGG
rnacentral:rRNA from 1 species